CUAAAAUUUCUUGUUCUUGAAUCUGAUACCGAGUCUGACUCUUGUUCUCUCGUCUGUUCCACUUCAAAACCUGCUGCUUUUCAUUCAAUGGAGGGCCCUCUCCUAGUAUGUGACUACUACUAAUAAUAAUUGGGCUCUUUGGUGACCACGAAAAGCUCUCUCUCUCUCAAGUCAUGCACUUGGUUUUGAGGCUGAGGUUGAAACGUUUGCUUUUCUAGUUCCUAGUGUCAGUGAUAACGAAAGACAGUGCUGUUUUUGUUCUAGAGCUUAAGGCUGGUGAGUCUUUUAUUUUCAUAGUUUUCUGAGGUUUCCAUGUGGGAACAUCACAUGGGACCAGUGCCAGAUUAUUCUAUGUUCGAAAAUUCUUCAUCAUAGUGAGAUACGAAGACCCUCUUCCAGGACUUGACUUUGCGUUAGAAUUUAAGAGCUCCGAGUUAGGUUCUGGAAAAUGCAAUCCAUCACUUUGGCCUAGAGGGUCUCCAUUCUUUCUGAAUUUCUUGCUGAGAUAUUGAGUUUUCGCUGCCUUCUUUUAUUUUAAGCUUUGAAUUCGUGGAUGGUUUGGUUUUUAUGGAAAGCUCAGGGACGUUUCUUUCCCUUUGACUAUGAGAUUGAAGCAUGAUUUUGAUGGUUUGAUUAUGAGGUUUCCAUGCUCGUUAAAGUCUGACCUAGAGGAAACUUCAUGGCUUCUAAGGCUUCCAGGCUAUACAGUUCGUAUGAGCGAAGUGGAAAAUUCAAUUUUGAUUUUGAUAUUUGAUACCUGAUUUGGAAGAAUAUAAAUUAAAUCCAAAUUUCAAAGUUGCACUUGUUUCUUUCAGUGGUUGUUUUUUUUUCAUUUCUACACUGUUCUGUUCUUAAUUGUCCACUGCAGUCCAGUUGUCUGCUUUAAUUUCCUAGUGAAUCCUUGCUUCCACUUGGCACUACUGAAUAUGGUGGGUUGAUUUAAUGUUAUAGGCUGUCAUUUGUCAAGCAAUUAAUCAACAUGAACUAAAUGAUAGACUCUGCAGGUUUGGGGCUCAAUUUGCGAGAUAUACUUCCUCAUGACAACACUUCUUUAAUCUGCUUCCUGUGUACAGAUUCUAAGUUGUAACCCACAGUUUAGCAACUUCUUCUGAAAGGCAAUUUAGUGAUCUGAGUUUCCCAUCGAUGGCUGAUGAAGAUGAUUCAUAUCCUCCGAUGGACGCGAAGAGAACUCCUAUUUGCAUUUUCUUUAAAGAUGUCAGAUAUGUUCUUAAAUUGGAUGAACUUGGGUUAGAAAUAGCACAAAUAGCAUUUCCUGCGGCUUUGGCUUUGACAGCCGACCCAAUAGCCUCUCUGGUUGACACAGCAUUUAUCGGCCAAAUAGGUCCAGUAGAACUUGCUGCUGUUGGAGUUUCUAUUGCUCUAUUUAAUCAAGUAUCAAGAAUUGCAAUAUUCCCUCUUGUCAGUGUCACAACUUCUUUUGUUGCGGAAGAAGAUGCUAUAGGAAGAGUCAGCCCUGAAGAAGAAGAUAGUGAAUCCUUGGAAACAGGUUCUACUAUGAACAGUGAGAACAAAGAGUUGAUACCGCAAAAUUAUUCUGCAGAAGGUCCAUACAAGGCAAAAUCACCUGUUAGCAGCUUUGGAAUUGAUAAGAUUGAGAAUGAGAGAAGGUGCAUCCCAUCAGCCUCAUCUGCAUUGGUUAUUGGGGCAAUUCUAGGCCUUAUCCAAGCUAUAUUCCUCGUAUCUGGAGCAAAACAACUAUUAAACUUCAUGGGAGUUGGUUCUGAUUCCCCUAUGCUGGGCCCUGCACAACAGUACCUGACUUUAAGAUCGCUUGGUGCUCCUGCAGUUCUCCUUUCCUUGGCCAUGCAAGGGGUUUUCCGUGGAUUCAAGGACACAAAAACUCCUUUAUAUGCCACUGUGGCUGGAGAUGUAACAAACAUCAUGUUAGACCCUAUAUUUAUGUUUGUUUUUGGCCUGGGUGUCAGGGGUGCAGCCAUCGCCCACGUAUUAUCCCAAUACCUGAUUUCAGUUAUACUCUUGUGGAGAUUGAUGAAACAAGUUGAUCUCUUACCUCCUAGUAUCAAACACCUGCGGCUGGGUCAAUUUCUUAGAAAUGGACUUUUAUUAUUGAUGAGGGUAGUAGCUGUGACAUUCUGUGUUACUCUUUCUGCAUCAUUAGCUGCGCGACAAGGAUCAACAUCAAUGGCAGCAUUUCAGGUCUGCUUGCAGGUUUGGUUGGCCACAUCUCUUCUUGCUGAUGGAUUGGCUGUUGCUGGGCAGGCAAUACUUGCAAGUGCAUUUGCCAGAAAGGACUAUGAAAAGGCAACAGCUACUGCAACUCGAGUAUUGCAGUUGGGAUUACUUUUGGGUUUGAUGCUUGCUGCUGUCCUUGGACUUGGAUUGAGAUUUGGAGCAAGAUUAUUCACAAGUGAUGCUGAUGUCCUCCACAUGAUUAGUAUAGGCAUUCCGUUUGUUGCAGGUACUCAACCCAUCAAUGCCUUGGCAUUUGUUUUUGAUGGUGUCAACUUUGGAGCAUCUGAUUUCGCAUACUCUGCCUACUCUAUGGUAAUGGUGGCCAUUGUUAGCAUCCUAUGUUUGUUUCUCCUCUCCUCUAGUCACAAGUUCAUUGGAAUCUGGGUUGCUCUGACAAUAUACAUGAGUCUUCGUGCAUUAGCUGGCUUUUGGAGGAUAGGAACAGGAACAGGACCCUGGAACUUCCUCAGGAAUUUGUAGCAGCUUGUCUAUUCUUUGAACUAGUAGCGUUGCAGCCAUGUUAAGAACCUGUCAAACUGUGAUUCUGUCAGGAUAGGAACAGGACCCUGGAACUUCCUCGUGAAUUUGUAGCAGCUUGUCUAUUCUUUGAACUAAUAGCGUUGCAAGCAUAUUAAGAACCUGCAACUUAAUCAGUCACCACAGUCACAUGCAAAACAUUUUGAUUCUACAAAAAAUUUCCCUGCCUUCUUUGGUUGGUUGUUUCAGGUUAAAUGGCAUGACGUGUAAGACCUUGUUAUAUUCCUUUCAUCCUCUGUAAAGUAGAUAGGAUGAAUUUUAAUUUUUACUCAAGCGAUGAAAUAAUAUCAAUUUUAAAAA